GAUCCUGGCUCAGGAUGAACGCUGGCGGCGUGCUUAACACAUGCAAGUCGAACGGGGAUUAUUUCAUUGAAGCUUCGGCAGAUUUGGCUUAAUCCUAGUGGCGGACGGGUGAGUAACGCGUGGGUAACCUGCCUUGUACAGGGGGAUAACAGUCAGAAAUGACUGCUAAUACCGCAUAAGCGCACAGGACCGCAUGGUCCGGUGUGAAAAACUCCGGUGGUAUAAGAUGGACCCGCGUUGGAUUAG
rnacentral:rRNA from 1 species